rnacentral:rRNA from 1 species
UACAGAGGGUGCAAGCGUUAAUCGGAAUUAUUGGGCGUAAAGGGCUUGUAGGUUGUUCUAUAAGUUAGAUGUGAAACCCCUGGGCUUAACCUGGGACGUGCAUUUAAUACUGUCGGGCUAGAGUCCGGAAGAGGCGAGUGGAAUUCCUGGUGUAGCGGUGGAAUGCGCAGAUAUCAGGAGGAACACCGAUGGCGAAGGCAGCUCGCUGGGACGGUACUGACGCUGAGGCGCGAAAGCGUGGGGAGCGAACAGG